AGUGAACGCUGGCGGUAGGCCUAACACAUGCAAGUCGAACGGCAGCACAGUAAGAGCUUGCUCUUACGGGUGGCGAGUGGCGGACGGGUGAGGAAUACAUCGGAAUCUACUUUUUCGUGGGGAUAACGUAGGGAAACUUACGCUAAUACCGCAUACGACCUACGGGUGAAAGCAGGGGAUCUUCGGACCUUGCGCGAUUGAAUGAGCCGAUGUCGGAUUAGCUAGUUGGCGGGGUCAAGGCCCACCAAGGCGACGAUCCGUAGCUGGUCUGAGAGGAUGAUCAGCCACACUGGAACUGAGACACGGUCCAGACUCCUACGGGAGGCAGCAGUGGGGAAUAUUGGACAAUGGGCGCAAGCCUGAUCCAGCCAUACCGCGUGGGUGAAGAAGGCCUUCGGGUUGUAAAGCCCUUUUGUUGGGAAAGAAAAGCAGCAGGUUAAUACCCCGCUGUUCUGACGGUACCCAAAGAAUAAGCACCGGCUAACUUCGUG
rnacentral:rRNA from 1 species